UACGAAGGGGGCUAGCGUUGCUCGGAAUCACUGGGCGUAAAGCGCACGUAGGCGGGUCUUUAAGUCGGGGGGGAAAUCCCGAGGCUCAACCUCGGAACUGCCUUCGAUACUGGCGAUCUUGAGUCCGGGAGAGGUGAGUGGAACUGCGAGUGUAGAGGUGAAAUUCGUAGAUAUUCGCAAGAACACCAGUGGCGAAGGCGGCUCACUGGCCCGGUACUGACGCUGAGAUGCGAAAGCGUGGGGAGCAAACAGG
rnacentral:rRNA from 1 species